GGAAAGUUUGCCUUUUUUAAUUGAGUUUCAGAAUCCUGUCUUGAUUAUAUGACAUAAUAAUAGUGGCUUUCCUAUUCAUCUGUGUAAUAUUGUUUUCUCACUGUGGUGGUUACUUUUGUUGAAGGGGAAGGCCUACUGCCUUAGAUAAAUAAGAGAAAAGCAGAAAGCUCCUCACGGCACUGGUUCCCCAACUAGAAAAUGCCAAGUCCUGACUUACACAUCAAGAGGGUGAGGGUUGCCAAUCAAGGACUUAUCCAAGUUCAAUGCAGUUUAAGAAUCUUGGCUUUGAUGGUAAAGUGGAUUAACUUUUCCGUGUAUCUUCAAGCCCCAGUAUCCCAAGAAAUGUUUGCCAUCACAAUGAAAGCUACGGAGGAGGAGGUUGCAGGGACGGCUGCUGCGAGCUGCGUGGGCCCUUUUCCAGAACCCGGGUCCCACCGCAUAGUUCCACUUUCUGGCACGGGGCCACUUUCCAGCUGAGCCCCUUUCGUCUCCAGGUCCUCGCCACGCACUGGAGGGCACCCACCUCCCUUCUACUCCCAACCCCCGGGCAGACGAGCCCAAGAAGGACCAUGCGAGGCCAGGCCAAAUGCCCGCACUGGCGCUCGGGGACUACAGCAGGGCUCCUGCGUGCGUAUGA
ensembl:lncRNA